rnacentral:rRNA from 1 species
AUUGAACGCUGGCGGCAUGCCUUACACAUGCAAGUCGAACGGCAGCACGGGGGCAACCCUGGUGGCGAGUGGCGAACGGGUGAGUAAUGCAUCGGAACGUGCCCAGUAGUGGGGGAUAACCAGUCGAAAGAUUGGCUAAUACCGCAUACGACCUACGGGUGAAAGCGGGGGACCGUAAGGCCUCGCGCUAUUGGAGCGGCCGAUGUCUGAUUAGCUAGUUGGCGGGGUAAGAGCCCACCAAGGCGACGAUCAGUAGCUGGUCUGAGAGGACGACCAGCCACACUGGGACUGAGACACGGCCCAGACUCCUACGGGAGGCAGCAGUGGGGAAUUUUGGACAAUGGGCGCAAGCCUGAUCCAGCCAUGCCGCGUGCGGGAAGAAGGCCUUCGGGUUGUAAACCGCUUUUGGCAGGAACGAAACGGCGACCUCUAAUACGGGUCGUUAAUGACGGUACCUGCAGAAUAAGCACCGGCUAACUACGUGCCAGCCGCCGCCGUAAGAC